CUUUCAGAGAACCCACCCCUCCGCCCUCCGCACGUGUGCCCCUCUCACGGUUUGGCCAGCCCCCUCUCUCUGGUCCAAAGCUCCUCCACAAAGUGGACUUGGGUGUGGAGCCCAGCACACCCUGCCCUCGGGCCGCAUAUCUGCACGCACACAGGGUCUUCUUAAAGGCCAAAGCUCAGGCCACAAGGGCUCUGCCAGGCCCGCUGCUUCUAUCCAAGGGGUGACCAUGGGGGAGGCCAGCAAGAAUGCCACAGUCUCACCCUGCUGCCUGUCUGUCUUGCGGAGGGCUCAGCCCUUUCCCGUGUUCACGAAAAGGACAGCGUGCGGGCCGGGGGACUCGCUCCUCUGCAGGAUGCCGCUGAUGGAGUACGACGAGCCGGCCGAAUCCGUGCUCACCGAGGACACCUGCGUCACGGAGCCAGUGGACACUGCGCGGAGAAAGACGGGCGGUCAGGGCCGCAGAGGGCUGAGGGCGGCGGACCGGCUGUCACCGCACAACCUUAGGCUCUGAAGAGUUUGUAGACGUCCAGCAAGGACCACGCAUGCGCAAGACAGCAAGUCCGGCGCAUCUGAGAGCAGCAGAACAGGGCCACGCGAAAAGCUCCUUCGGAUCUACCAGAAAGCUCCUUCCUUGGCAUUUGGGAGAAGAGUGGGUCAUAAUAAAAUGUCCGGUUUCUUUGGAAAAGUUAUAUUCCAGUCUCAAACUAUUACCUUUUGAAAGGACAUUUAUUAGAGUUUUUUCUCAUUAUAACAGUAAUAUACGUUCAUUGUAGACUCUUUGGACAGUAUGGGAAAGUAUAAAGAAGACAUCUAAAAACGGUAUUUUGGUGUAUUUCCUUUAUACCAACAUUCCUGGGCAUAUUUAGAAAUAUCCAUUUUUCUCUUAACAAAAUCAGGAUUAUGCCAUGUAUACAGUUUUUUUUGUUGUGGUGGUUGUUUGUUUUGAGACAGAGUCUUGCUCUGUUGCCCAGGCUGGAGUAUAGUGGUGCGAUCUCAGUUCACUGCAACCUCCGCCUCCCAGGUUUGAGUGAUUCUCCUGCCUCAUCCUCCCAAGUAUCUAGGAUUACAGGCAUGCGCCACCAUGCCCAGUUUUUUUGUUUUUUUGCUUUUUUGUUUUUCUUUUUGAGACGAAGUCUCUCUCUGUCACCCAGGCUGGAGUGUAGUGGCAUAACCUCAGCUCACUGCCACCUCUGCCCCUAGGGUUCAACUGAUUCUCCUGCCUCAGCCUCCCGAGUAGCUGGGACUACAGGCGCAUGCCACUGCCUAAUUUUUGUAUUUUUAGUAAAGAAGAGGUUUCACCACGUUAGCCAGGCUGGUCUCCAACUCCUGACCUCAAGUGGUCGGCCCUCCUCGGCCUCCCAAAGUGCUGGGAUUACAGGCGUGAGCCACCGCACUCAGCCUCCAUGUAUACAGUUUUGCAGCCUGCUCUUUUCAUGCAACAUUCUGUGAGAAGCUUUUUCACAUUCCAGACCAUUAAUAUCUGAAAGUUUAUUCUGAGGCUGCACUGGGUCUCCAGCUUAUACAAAUGAAGAAUGACAGAAGUAGCAGGUGGGUGCCUCCCCUUAAACUCAAUGGGCAGUAGCCUCUCUGCCCUUUCUGAUCUUACAGCUUGGUGCUCGGCACCAAGGGCAGUCCGUGUCCUCAGCUGAUAGCCUGAAAUGGUCUUUUCUGUUCACCCUAUAGUCUCACCACACACACACAGGCCAUCUGGAGCCUGGCUACUUGAGCUCAGCAAGGAGCCUCUUGCCCUUUUCUAAUCAGUCAGCUUAAGUGUUCCCUCAAAUACAUUCAGAUUGUUUGUUUGUUUUCCCUAAUAUUCAAACCACUUAUUUUAACUAAGCAAACUCGAAGCAUAUUGGACAACCAGAAAACUCAUGGCAUUUGGGAGAAGAGUGGGUCAUAAUAAAAUGUCCAGUUCUGGGAGUGAGGUUCUCUUUUUGGUCACCUGGAAGUAAGCUGGCAUCUGACCUAAUGUUUAUAUUUUUGUGUAUGUCACUUUCUCUGUGUGUAUGUGUCUACAGAGAUAUUGCUGGAUAUGUCAAUAUAUGGAUAUACCAGACAUAAAUAUAGUUACAAAUAAAUAUAUGGCAAAAAAGUCA
rnacentral:lncRNA from 1 species